rnacentral:rRNA from 1 species
UGCGGAAGGAUCAUUAAUGAAUUCACUAUGGAGUUGUUGCUGGCCUCUAGGGGCAUGUGCACGCUUCACUAGUCUUUCAACCACCUGUGAACUUUUGAUAGAUCUGUGAAGUCGUCUUUCAAGUCGUCAGACUUGGUUUGCUGGGAUUUAAACGUCUCGGUGUGACAACGCAGUCUAUUUACUUAACACACCCCAAAUGUAUGUCUACGAAUGUCAUUUAAUGGGCCUUGUGCCUAUAAACCAUAAUACAACUUUCAACAACGGAUCUCUUGGCUCUCGCAUCGAUGAAGAACGCAGCGAAAUGCGAUAAGUAAUGUGAAUUGCAGAAUUCAGUGAAUCAUCGAAUCUUUGAACGCACCUUGCGCCCCUUGGUAUUCCGAGGGGCAUGCCUGUUUGAGUGUCAUUAAAUUCUCAAACUCACUUUGGUUUUUUCCAAUUGUGAUGUUUGGAUUGUUGGGGGCUGCUGGCCUUGACAGGUCGGCUCCUCUUAAAUGCAUUAGCAGGACUUCUCAUUGCCUCUGCGCAUGAUGUGAUAAUUAUCACUCAUCAAUAGCACGCAUGAAUAGAGUCCAGCUCUCUAAUCGUCCGCAAGGACAAUUGACAAUUGACCUC